rnacentral:rRNA from 1 species
UACGAAGGGGACUAGCGUUGCUCGGAUUGACUGGGCGUAAAGGGCGCGUAGGCGGCUUGUACAGUCAGACGUGAAAUUCCUGGGCUCAACCUGGGGGCUGCGUUUGAUACGUGCGGGCUUGAGUUCGGAAGAGGGUCGUGGAAUUCCCAGUGUAGAGGUGAAAUUCGUAGAUAUUGGGAAGAACACCGGUGGCGAAGGCGGCGACCUGGUCCGAUACUGACGCUGAGGCGCGAAAGCGUGGGGAGCAAACAGG